rnacentral:lncRNA from 1 species
AUCAUAAUUGAAAAAACAAUGCCCAAUCUUAUAAGUGUCUAAGUAAUUUCAACCAGAAUCUAAUCUAAUAUAGCUAGAAUUCAAAUCAUUUAAUGUAUGGAUCAGCACUGUAAUAUUGUUAUUGCAUCCUUAAUUAAUAACGUACGUACCACGGGAAGACUCGGAAGACAGGAUUUCAAUCAUUUUGCGGGAGCCAACAGUAUUAACCCAGCUUUUGUUACCGUCAGCGAGUCCUAUUGUCUGCACAACAGAACCGCAGACAUUCGGUAAGAAGUUUGCUUGUUUCUUGAAGAAUUUAUAGAAAGCAUCAGUAGAGCAUUGAAUUGGUGUUUCCACGACUUUUCUGCAAAGGCGAGCCAUAUCUUUGAUCUUUUGUAGACUAGUAAGUAGCUAAGAGACCUCCUUGGCUAGAUAACUGACAAGGAGUGAAGAAAUGCAGUGAAGAAAUGUAGAGUCCUCUCCUUGGUAUUAUAUAGAAGAAAAGCCCAGCGUUAACCCUCUUGUUAUUCAUCUUUUGUCAAGCCAAUAGGUCAUUUUCACAUGUCACCUUUCACACAGUUGUCGAAAUUUAGAAUGCAUUCCCACCAGUAGCUCAUGUUCACACGAUACCUUUUAAAGCAAUAAUAUGGUUCUGAUAAUUGAAUGUUAUUUGUAGUUUUAUUAAACAAUUUUCCAACGAUCUUAUGGCUAAAUUUUUACUUAUUUAUUAAUUAUUUAGUUUAAUAUAUUUUGUUGUUAUUUAAUUUAUAACUUUUUUAAUACAGUACUUUUUAAAAAAAUUUUAAUAUGCACAUUCUAGGUCAGAUUUUAAUUAAAAUAGAUAUUUAGCUGUUGUUUCUUUACAAUAAAAAUAAUUAUGGCUUCUAGUUAAGAGAUUGUUGCUCCUACAAUUGCUGCAAUGACAAGUUCUAUUAUAGCAUUAUCUUAUGUGAUUUAUUAUGAAAAACCUGAAAACUUAAUAGUUUAAACUUUAAGAGGUCGUAAUAAAAGAUGUAAUUUUAUCUAACCAUCUUAAACUUGAAAAAGUUUUUAACUGAAGAUGCGUCAAAGCUGUUAGAUGAUGAAUCUAAUACCACUAUUGUGGUAACUAUGGAUGAAUUGAUGCAAUGCGAUUUUGUAUGCAAAAACUACGUUUUGAAUGGAAUGGAGAAUACAUUUUAUGACGGGUAAAGUUGCAUUAAUAAUGUAAAGAUACUAUAAGAAUAUUUUGGUUAGAAGUACAAAGCUAAAGAUGCCACUAUGAAAAUAUUCAUAAUCAAUUAAACUCUUGACUUCAAUAUAGUUGAUUCAAUGUCUAUAAUUAGUGAAGUUCAAGAGUUUCAACUUAUCUUACAUGAUGUUCUUGCCCAGGGGAUGGUUUUGAGUGAAUCUUUCUACGUGGUUGUUAUUAUUAAAAAAUUACCACUAACUUAGAAAAAUUUCAAGAACUACUUUAAAUAUAAGAAAGAAAAGAUGGUAGUUGAAGACCUUAUUGUAAGGUUGAGGAUAGAAGAUUGGCGACAAGUUUUUCAAGAAGAUAACCAACUCUUAUUUAAUGACCUUUGGGAGAAUUUAAUUAAACAACUAACAAAGUCUCAUAAUAAAAACCAAAAUAAUAAUCUUGUUGUGAAGAGAAAAUAUAUUGCUAAGAGAUUUAGUGGCAAAUGCUUUAUCUACAAUAAGACUAGAUAUCAAGCAAAAGAUUAUAGAAAUAAGUCUAAGUAAGGUAACUUUAAGAAAGAAAGGGCAACUCAAGCUAAUGCUAUUGAGAUUGAUGACCUUUCGAAUGAAGUGUUAGAGAUGAGCAUGUAUAUGGCUAGCUACAAAGUCAAUCUGAUUAAUAAUCCUGAGUAGUGAUGAAUUGAAUAGUGUUACAAGAGAUGUAUACACUGAGAUGAGGAUGUUCUCCCCUUACAAAGAGAUUAAUGAUGAAUAACUUUACAAGGAAAAUUCAUCAACUUUAAAGGUACUAGGUGUUGUUGGAAAGGUUAUUAUAAAUACGACUUUCAAAAAGCUUUCCAGCCUCAAUAAUGUGCUUCAUGGUAUUGAUAUUAGGAAGAACUUAAUAUAUUGCUCAUUAUUAAGUGAAAAUGGUUUUCGGGUGGUCUUUGAAAAUUAUAAUUUAUACUAACUAAAAGUGGGAUGUCUGUAGAAAAAAAGGGUAUCUUUGUGAUCACAUUUUCAAAAUAAAUGUAAUGACUAUUGUAACCAAAGAUAAGAUUGAUAAUAAUAAGAAUACCUCUUAUCCUUACUUUCUUAAGUAUUGUGAUCGAUAUGUAGCAUAACAUGUUAUAAUAUAUGAAUUAUAAUUCUAUAUAAAUAUUAAUUAAUCUUGAAUUAUUACUAAUUAUGGUUCUUGAGAAAAAUAAUAAAUGUGAAGUUUAUACAUAAUCAAAAUUCACAAUUUUUUUUUAAAACAAUUGAAAGAUGUAGUGAACCUUUAGAUUUAAUCCAUUCAGAUAAUAAUUAUUUAUAAUUUAAGGAAACUAGAAGUGGAAAAAAAAAAUUGCAUUACUUUUUAUAUAUUAUUGUACAAGAUGUUAAUUUACCUAUAUGCUAAAAAGCAAAGUUAAGACUCUUAAGAUGUUUAAACAUUAAGAAAAAAAAGUUAAAAACAACUUAAUAAAAAGAUAAAGGUAAGAAAAAUAGAUAGAGGUGGAAAAUAUAAAACACCAUUUGAUGAAUUAUAUUUCUAAAAUGGUAUUAUUCACCAAACUAUCGCUUUUUAUUCAUAUAAUCAAAAUGGCAUUGUAAAGCAAAAAAACAACUAAAAUUUAAAGGAAAUGAUGAAUGUCAUAUUGAUAAGUUUGAGAGCACCUUAAAACUUAUAAGAGAAGGAAAUUUUGACUGCCAAUUAUAUGUCACAUGAAGUUAGAAAAGACACCAUAUUGGUUGUAGAAAGGUAGAAGACCUUCCAAUAAAAACUUUAAAGUGGGGAGGUAUUUUGAAAAGUAGUAAUACUUGAUCUUAAAAGGGUCAAGAUAGGACCUGAAACUAUGAAUUAUGUAUUUUGGAUAUGCUUACAAUAGUAGUGUAUUUUAAUUUCUUAUACCCAAGUCAAGUAUUGAAGAUUUUUAUCUGAAUACAAUAAUAGAAUCAAGGAAUGAUAUAUUCUUUAAAGACAUGUCUUCUUUUAAAGAAGCGUAAAAAAUCCAUUCAUUUAAGAGGAUGAGUGAAGCAAGCUUAAGUAGUCAUCAUCUAAUAAAAUAUGAUGAAGUUGAGAUGAGGAGUAAAAGAGAAAAAUUGACACAAAUUCUAAGUCCUAAUUUUCUAGUGUACUUGUUAAAAAAUAAACUUCAAAACUAUUCUAAGGUAAUAUCUCUAUUGAAAGGAGAUUGUUAAUAGUGAAAUUGAAUUUAGUAUUUAUGUAGAAGGUUCUGAUAAAUCAAAACUCGUUUUAUUGUAUUCGAACCAUAUAAAUAGCCUAAUAGUUAAGUAUUGGACUUGAUAGAAAGGUCCAAACCUAAAAAGAGAUCUGGUCAUGUUAAAUAACCUGGAUGAUAGGAAGGCCCAUAACUUUUUAUUUGAUUGUUUGAUAGGGCUCAUAGUUUUUCAAAAGACUCUACAGGCCUAGAUCUAUGUGAGUUAGGUAGCUAUAACCAUUUUAGGUUGGAAAGGUCUUCAAAUUAGGCAUAGAAGUUUCUAUUUCUAUGAAUUUGUUACUUUCCUAGUUAAUUUUAGAUUUUUAUCUUGAUUUAAAAAAUGUGUUAUUUUCAUAUUUCAAUUAGAAUUAGAAUCAUAAUUAUUCAUAUCCCGUAAAGGUUAGUUUAAGGUCUAUUUAAAAGAGUUUUAACUAUGUUUUAAGGGAAGACAACUAGAAAUAAUUAUUCAAAAAUAAUAAUGCAAAUUAGGAUUUCUAUGUGAUCUCUUCUUCAAAAAAUUAUGCCUUAUUCUUUAAUUCCUAUUCCUCAAGUCUAGCUAAGUCAGCUGAUAUUAGAACACAACAAUCCUUUAUAGUAUGUUGUUGUGAGCUUUUAAAUAAUCAUGACUAGAAAAGGUCACAAGAUAGGUCGUCUUCAUAUAGGAGGUGAUGAAAAGGUUCCACAUUAAGAACAAGAUGUCCAAAAGCGUGACAAUAACAAACCAAAAAUUAACUAGUUGACUAGUAGAGAAAGACAUGUUGAGGCAAGUUAUAGAACUAACUCAUCAAUUGUCAUAGAGAAACCUAGAGGAUCAUAAACAGAAUGAUCAUGCACCUAUAACCACUUUUGAGAACCCAUUUCUAAUUUGUUAGUAGAGGAGACAUCCUUAAGAUGAAUAUGAUAUUAAAAAUGGAAUUGUUUUUAGAUACUAGUUUUUUUAUGGAUUGAAAUCAACCAUUAAAAUUCAAUGAGGAACAAGCUCAAGAUACCGUUAAGCUUAAUGGUUAUUGAAAUCCUAUUUUUUAUUUAUAUAAAUUUAGAUUUACAAGGAUUUUCUUAUGAAAAGAAGAGUUAUUUUGAUACUCCAAAAGAGUUUUUUAGAGUUAAUUUUAAAAACAUCAAAGUAGUAAACAUUUCAAACCACAGAGAAAUCAAUGGGCCAACCUACUAUUCCUUGCUAAUAAUCAAGUGUCCAAAGUUUAUACUUGAACAAUUUCAAGGUGGUUUUGGUAUGGUCAAAAAAGGUGUAUUGCUAAAAAAAAAACAUCCUAGUUGCGGUCAAGGAUAAUAACAUUAUACUGGAUUUUGAAUUCAAUGCUCGGUUAAGAGAUUUUAGUUUGGCAUGUGCAUUGGAGAAUGAUAUGAAGUCCUUUAAAGAGCUAUAAUGUGUGCCUAUUUUAAGGCCUAUUCCAAAUUUAUUUGUACUACUAGUUCAACCGAGACAACAUCUUGGUGGUUGUUGGCUAGCAAACCUAGUAACUAGUUUUACUAAUGUAACCAUAACUAUUGGUGAUGAAUGGGAAAAUGAUUGCUAGUGAACUACUUUAUGUUAUACUUACACUAAGAAAGAAGAUAAAAAGCACGGCUAUAGGUUUAAUUUCUUAAAUACGAUCAAUUAUAGGCUCAUCUUUGCAUACAUUACUUGCACCAAGAAUAAUUUGAACUCAAGGAAGAGUUCUUUUGAACAUAAGGAGAUUGUUGUAAGGGGUUUUGAUCAAACAUGAAGCUUUUUAGUAAUACACAUAACUUUCAAUCUAACUAUUACACUAGUCUAAAUUGUUUUUAGGAGAUUCUAAAAACCAUGUAUCCUAUAAUGUUAAGUUUUUGUAGUCAUUAUGCCUAAAAGGUACUACUUAGAUUUGAUCAUAUUUUCCUAGUUAAUUUAGGGUUCAAUUUUCUAUUUAGUGUAUAACUCUUUUAUUGUUUUUCCUAUUCUAUUUAGGAAAUUGUUUUGCAUUAAUAUUGACGUAUAUCCUAGAGAAUAAAAUUCAAAUUAUUUUUCUCACGCUGUAAGAAUUGUAUAUGACUAAUUAAGUUUUCUAAAGCCAUUUUUGUAUAUUUCUUCUUGUUAACCUUUCCAUCAAUAGAAUAAAGUGUCAAUAUUCAUAAAGAGAUUAAUUAUCCAUUUAUCAGUGAUCCAAGGGUUCUUUGACAAAUAUUUGUUUAUAUACUUUUUUUUGUCUAUGUCGAAUGCUUUGUUAAAUGUAAGUAUGGAUUUUGUGUUUGGUAUGCCUUGAACCUAACAAGUUAUGGAUUAAAUCCUUAUAGUGGUUGAAAGGUUCUCAAAGAUGGCUCGUUUUAUUGACUAUAGGAAUACCAUGAAUGUUAUUGAAUUGCCUAUCUCUACUUCAAGAAAAUGGUUUGUUUACAUGGAAUUCCUAAGUCUAUUAUUUGUGAUUAAAAUACCAAGUGCAUAAACAACAUUGAUAAGAGUUUAUGGGAUAAGAGAACUCAAUUGAAUUUUAGCAAUGCUUAACAUCCUAAAAAACAAGGAUAAAAAAGUGGUAAAUCACAACUUAAGGAAUCUAUUUUGGAGCUGGUGAGAAAAUAAACCAAAGCAAUGGGAUUUGUCCUUAUCAUAAAAGGAGUUUUCUCUUAAAAGGUCAAGGAAUUGGACUACUCAAUUGAGUUCUUUUGAGGUUUUUAUGGAUAGAAAUCCUUCAUAUGUUUUUGAUUUGACACCUAAUCCUUGAAUUCCAUUAAAAAAAGUUAAUUUUAAAGUCGUAGACAUGGUAUGGAUGGUGUUUACUUGUGAUAGAUUUACUUUGAGGGAGUAUAACAAGCUUUAGGAAAAGAAAAAUUGGUCAUUGUAAGAUGCUGCAAUAGAUCAAUGAUAAUUCUUAUCGACUUCAUGUUUUUAUUCAUUAAUACUUCUAAUAUUUUUAAUGUUUAGUAUUUAUCUCCUUUUCUAGUGGAUGACUAGAACUCAAUGAUGAAUUUUCUUCUAAGCAGGGAGGUUAAUGCUAGUUAAUUAGAAACACAUUUAUUAUAUUUUGAUUAUGUGGAUAGCCUAACAUAUUAUUAUUUAGACCAGAUUUCAGGCCAAAGACUAAGAAAAGGCUUAGUCAUGCCAAAUGACUUAUAUGACAAAAAGACUUAUAGCCUUGGAUCUGACUAUUGGAAUAGACUCAAUUUUUUUCAGGAAAUUUUAUAAGCCCAAUUCUAUAAAAUAUAGGUUGAUUAUAACCAUCCAAGAAUGAGAAGGCCUUUAAAUUAAAUUUAUAAAUUGCUGCUUUUAUCAGUUUUGUUAAAAAAAUAGGUUGAUUAUAACCAUCCAAGAAUGAGAAAGCCUUUAAAUUAGAUUUAUAAAUAAAUGCUUUUAUCAGUUUUGUUAUUUUCCUAGUUAUUUUUUAUAGCUUGAUUUUAGAUUAAUUGUUAUUUUCCAUCUUGAAUUGGAAUUCUAAUUAUUCAUAUCUUGUAAACUUUUGGUUUAAGGCCUAUUUAAGAUCAUUGUAACCCUAUUUUGAGGGUAGACUAUAAAAAGAUAAUUAUAUAGUAAUAAAACUAUGAAUUUGGGUUUCCAUGUUAUCUGUUCUUCUAAAAAUCUUGUCUUUCUUGUUUUUUUUAUUCCUAUUUUUUAGGUUUGGUUGCAUCAUUUAUGCAAAACCAUACAUGAAAAUUAAUGGAUCUUCCAUCCGGAAGUAAACCGUUAGACUAUAAAUAGAUAUUCAAUAAGAAGAUGGAAGCUGGUGGAACUAUUGAUAUAUACCAUGUAAGACUUAUUGUUAAAGGAUUUAACUAUUUUGACACAUAUUCAUCUAUGUCAAGUACAACUUUCGUAUGAAUAUUAAUAGCCACCACAUCUAUUAAUAAUCUUGAAGUAUAUCAAAUGAAUGUAAAGAAAACUUUUUUAAAUGAUGACCUUGAUGAGGAGGUCUACAUGAAGUAACAUGAGGAGUUUGUAGUUAAAAGGCAAGAAACAAAAGUCAAUAAGUUUAUUAAGUCAUUAUAUGGUUUGCAAUAAGUAACUAAGACAAACAUGUAAAUUUUGACAAGGUUGUGUUAUCAAAUAAUUUUAAAAUUAACAAAUGUGAUAAAUGUGUUUAUGUAAAAACUAAAAAUAAAAGUUAUGUCAUUAUAUAUUUUUAUGUAGAUGACAUGUUAAUUUUAGGCAACAAUAAACACAUGAUCAAAUCUACCAAAAACAAUUUAACUAAUAAAUUUGACCUAAAAGACUUGGGUGUUGCAGAUAUCAUAUUAGGAUUUAAAAUUUCUUGGAUAUCUAAUGGAUUAGUAAUGUCUUAAUCUCAUUAUGUUGAGAAAGUUCUUGAUAAAUUUUUUAAAGUGACAAUAUCAUUAUCAAAAUACCAAUGGAUAUAAGUGUGCAUCUAUAAAAAACAAAGGUAAGGGAAUACACCAAUUAGAACAUUCUCAAACAAUUGAAAGCUUGAUGUAUGAAAUAAACUAUACAAGAUCAAAUAUAUUGCAUACUUAGUUACCAAGUUAAAUAGAUUUACUAAGAAUCCAAGCAUGAAUCAUUGAAAAAUAAUAAUUAGUGUGCUCAAAUAUUUAAGAUACGCCUUGUAUUAUAGGCUACGCUAUACUUGAUAUCUUAAUAUGGUACUAGAAAGUUAUAGUGCUGUGAAUUGUAUAUCAGACACCAAGGAUUAUUGGAUAUUUCUUCACACUCAAUGGAGUAACAAUGAAUUGGAAAUCUUAUAAGCAAAUAUGCAUUGCAAGAUCCAUGAUAUAAUCAAAUUUUAUUUCUUUGUCUAUUCCUAUGAUGAAAAAGGGUGCUUAUAUCACACUCUUAAUGAGAAAUUAGGGCUAAAGUUAUUUUCAUAUAUUGGUUUAUCAAGUGGAGUAUAACAACAUAAUCUUAAUAAGACAUCAUCUAUAUAGUAGAAAAUGUAGAUGUUUCUUUGAGAAUUUUAAAAGACCGAAUUCUUUAAAGCAUUCAUGAAACUAAAAGUUGUUUAGGAACAAAAUAAACACCAUUAUGAAAACGAAAGAAAACUCUAAGAAGAGAACUGCGUGGGUACUAUUAUCCUGGUUUACACAAAAAAAUUGAAUAAUUCAAGACACCAUGUUCACUAAUUGGCCAAAUAAAUUGGAUAGUACUUGACUAAGAAAAGUUCAAAUUCAAAAGCUACUAUUCUAAUAUAGUGAUAUUCAAAUUCAUUUUUUCUCUAUAUUCAUUUUGUCUAAGGAUUGUUGAAAAUGGCUUUGAAAUGGUAUUUACAUAUCUUUUAAAAUCAUUAAUAGUAAUGUGAAAUUUAAUGAUCAAUUUCUUUCUAUCUUGUCAAAUUCAUUGAUUAUAAAAAUACAAUAAAUUUUCAUGAAAUAAUUCUAAUUAGUCUUGAAUUAAUUAUGUUCUAUUGAAUCCUUUUAGAUUCAUUAAUUAUGUGAAUUCAAUGAAUUGUUAGAAUUAAUUCUAAUUAAUAUUAAAUUAAUUCAAUUCAAUUAAAUCUUCUAAGAUUCAUUGAUUUUUCAAAUUCAAUUAAUUAUUAUGAAUUCAUUCUAAUUAAUUUGAAUGAAUUUCUCUUCCCUCGCCUCCUAUAUAAAUAGGGUAAAAGGAGUUCAUUCUUAUAAGUUGAAGAGGUAGAAAGUAGACAAUAGAGUAAAUUUUCUAGUUCAUAGGCCUUGAUUAGUGCAUUAUUUUGAGGUAUUGUCAUCGAAAUCUUUCGAGGCAAGUUGAAUUGAGAUCGUUUGUACCUAUUAAUGAGUAAUUUAACCUUAAGAAUAGAAGGUACAAUUCUCAAUAAUAGCUUUCUUUCCUAUCUUGGUUUUGAUUUGAAAUUCUACAAGUAAGUACUUUAUAUGUUUAUAUUUGUUUUUUACUUAUUUUUUUAUAUUAUUUUUUUAUAUUAUCCUGCAAAUAUAAUUAUAUAUAAUUGAUUUUACUAUAUAAUUUCCCAAUAAAGUUUAUAUUAGAUCCUUGCUAACAUAUCACACAAUAUAUGUGACUAAUUUUGUUGAAAAACCAAUCAAUUAUUUAAAUUUUGUAGAUAUUGUUAAAAAAAUAAGAUUUUGGACCGGAUGUGGUAAAAAAUUGGGCUCCUUGUAAGGAGAAAAAGAAAUAGCAUUUGAAGAAUUAAACGGACCUAAUUGGGGAGAGGAAGGAGAGAGAAAGGAGGAAGAUAGACAUCACAUGAAAAAAUAAAACAUUUUGAACAAAAAAAAUAGAAAACCACCCUUCGAUGUUACAUUAAUUGUAAGAAAGGAUGUGGGCAUUUGUGCAAUGUUAAUCUCUCCAAAAGGUGGGGAGGUUAUUAGAAUAUUAAUUAGAAUUAAAGGGAAAAAUCAUAUUUUAACAAUGUGGGUAUUUAUUUAACUAAAUCGAAGCUAUACUUAAUCCAAAUCAUUGCAACUAAAUCAUAUUUUAACUAAAACAUUUCCAAAAUAGAUUUCUCAAAUAAUAAUUCAAUAAUUUAUCAAAUACAAUAUAUUAUUUAUACACAAUUUUCAUCAUAUCGUCAAAAUCUAAAAUCUAAAUUCAAACACCAAUUAAGCAAGUAUCUUUUGGAUUCCCUAACACAUUCUUGAAUGAUGCGUAGUCUUUACUCUAUCAAUAACUACUAAAAGUAAAAUGAUGAGAUAGUUUAAAUUUGGUUAGUGUAUGUAUAAAAGUAAGAAUUAUACUUGAAUAUCAAUAUUUUCUUUUGAACAAAAGCAUGAUUAAGAAUUAUCCUUGAAUUAUGAAUAAGUGAAACUUGUGGAUGUGGAGUGAAAUAGAAAUUAAAAUAUUAUGGAUUGGGAAAGACGAAUCUGCUCAUGAAUUGUACAGAAAAGGAGAAAUCAGAAUAAGAAUAUAGGAAUUAAUUAGCAUGAUUAAAAAUUUCUCUACCUUUAAAGGAACCGUUGGAUAACUUUUUUUCAUUCGAACUUAGUAUCCAAGAAUUCGAAAGAAUAAGAAUAUAGUAUAAGAUUGAUCUUUUUGAGGAGUGGUGGUCUCCAAAAAUUCCUUAUCUCAUGCCUAAAGUGCUAGCAAUUCAUGGUUUUGCUGAUCUCUCCCGUCAAUCAAAGCCUGCAUGAGGUAAAGAAGGUCGCGUCUUCUUCUUUUCCACCCAGAAAUUCUUAUUAUCAUAUAGGAAAAGUCAAUUCAGAAUUAUUAAAAACAGAUAAAUCUGAACCAAAUGAAAUGGAACAUUACAUGCCUUAUGAUUAUGAGAUCCAUAAGGAAUCUGUCGCUAAAAAGAAUAAUAACAUUUGUGGUCUGAUAAUUUGUCUCGAGUCUUAUUCCACAGUAAAAAGAUAUCUUGCAUCGUAUUGAUGCUCAAUUUUCUAAGAAUUUGGUUUUGUCCAUUAAAGACUAAUUCAAUACUCUUACUAGUUAGAGCUUAAGGAUCACUUGAUCACUUGUUUAAUGGUUCAAGACUUUCACUUAACAAAAAAACUAUAAAAAUAAAUAAAAUAAAUUUUAAUACUAUCGAAAAAAACAUAAAUUCGAUUUGAAGGAUAAAAUCAAUUAUUUUUAUUAUUAUUAUUAUUGACCUGAGUCUGACAUCCCUUUUCAGACCCAAGAUACUUGAGGCUAGAAAGGGACACCUGAUCCAAGUUGUUUGGGAGUGACAGGAGAGCAGACUCAAGUCCCUUGGGUCUUGCAGCCUCUCCUAGCCCAUGAUACUUGUGUUAGGUGUCUAGACCCAAGCUUGGGUCUCACUGCAAUUCUGAACCCAACAACCUUGGGUCUGGCUGUAAGGACGGACCCCAAGCUCUUGGGUCUCUCUUUCUAGACAGACCUAAUGCUCUUAGGUCUUAGAUUUUUUUUGAUAUUUUUUAUGAAAAACAAAUUGACUCACGACGCAGCGCAGACCACCUAACUAGUAUAGAAUCUAUAGCGAAAAGAAUACCACUUUUGAGGUAUUUAUAUUCUUUUAUUUUUUUAAAAAAUUAAUAUUUAUAUUGGUUUUGUUAUUUGAGUUCUUGUACUCAUGAUAUAAGUUAUUUUGUUGUUGGAAUGCUAAUGUAUUAAUUAAUUUUGUGUCAAGUGAGUGCAUGUAGAUAUUAUUUUAAUAUUUUUUAUAUUAAGUUUCUAACACCAUGAUAUAUACACAGAAAACAUACAAACUAAGGCUAAAUAAUUUUGAAGUAACAAUUUAGUUUAUGAUGCUAACAAGACAAUUUUGAUAAAAAAAAUAAGAAAGGAAGUCUUCCAUAAUUGUUUUUAUAUAUAUAAACUUUUGAAAUGUUAGUAAAUUUCUUCUUCUUCUUCUUCUUCUUCUUCUUUUUUCCAUUCAAAAUUGUCUUGGCAUGCUUAAAAGAAAGAAUGAGAAUAUAGGAUGACAUUGAUGCUUUUCAGGGUGGUCUCCAAAAUUCCUCUCUUUACCAUAAAGUUACACUAGCUAGCAAUUCAUGGUUUUGCUGGUCUCUCCUGUCAAUCAAAGCCUGAAGGUAAAUAAGGUCGCGUCUUACUUCCGUUUUCCAAUCUGAAAUUCUUAUUCUAUCAUAUAGGAAACGUCAUUUUAGAAUCAUUAAAAACAAAUAAAUCUGAACCAAAUGAAAUGGAACAUUGCUAAAAGAAUAAUAAUUUGUUUUGGGUCAUGUGAUACAUCUUAUUCAUGAUGUAAAAAGAUGUUUUCAAUGAUAUUGAUGCUUGAUUUUGUAAAAUACUGUUUGGUUUUGUUGAUUAAAACAAUAAAAUAUUUGGGAUUAAAUUUAAAAUAGAAACAAAGAGGUAGGCAUUUUUAAAAAACUUUUUUUUUAACCAUUCAUGAAGCGCAAAUAUGUUUACUUUAGUCCCUGAAUUUGUUUUCUCUUUAGUUUUGGUUCCUUUUCCAAGGAUUUUAUGUUCCAGUCAUGAAAUUUAUUUGAUUUACAUUUCAACCUCUAAAAUUUGAGAGAAGUGCAAAGUGCCCAGAAAAUAGGAGAGGAGAGAGAGAAUAAUAACAUUUAUAAUAUCAGAAUAUUCUCUCGUUGUAUCCAUCGUUAACCACCAACAUAAUAAUUCCCUCUAUAUAUAUUGAGGGAAUUGUAGUGAGAAAUGAUGAAAUAAAAAAAAAUAAAAAAGUAUGAUGACGUGUCAUUUUUACAGAUAAAAUUACCGACGACAUUAACCCGUUGAUGAAAUUCAUCGGUAAAUUCUUUUGUAAUAUUUAAUUUAUGACCUAGCGAGCAACCCUCCUCUCCCAUUUCCUCUUCCUCCUCCAUUUUUUUCUGUUACAAAAAACACCCCCCUAAUUUUAUCACAAAUUAACCUCCCCUUACAAAGCCACUCCAACACUUAGUUUGUUAAUGUUUUUAUUUGAUUUAAUUUUUAUUAAGGAUUCCCCAUUUCAAGUAAGUAAAACUAUCCAUUGUUUACUUAAACUCAAUUUUAAAAUGUUAACUUGAAAGUUAAAUGGUCAAUUGAGGGUCAAUCUGCAUAAAUCUAAGACCAAGAACUAAUUUGAAAAAGGAGCUAGAAUUCGAGGCUGAUAUUGAAGUUCGGUAGGGAUAAAAUUGCACAAAAUUAGAAAUUUAGGGUAAAUAAGGGGUGCAAUUGAAAGAAAUUAAAAGCCAGAGGAUCAAAUUGAACUUUGGCCAAUCCCUAAAUUAAAACCUUAAAACCCAAAACGACGCCAUUUUAUUUAAAUGAAAGGACACAUUUUGACCAAAACAACGUUGAUUUUUACCUAAACAGUAAAAAAAAUAUAUAGACCAGACGACGCGUCGUUUGGUAUUGUUCAUCUUCUUCAUCAUUUUUUUCAUCUGAAAGUUGUUCGGGUGACCACCUUUUCAGAGCAUUUAAUGCUUCAUCUCUCAACCAAACCAGACAAACCAUACACUACCAUGAUGACCUAACACUUGACCAUACCUCAGUAUGAUUCUUUCUGGCCGAUUGACACCAUAACAACAUUGGUGUUACCCCAAAAUGACCAACUCAUGCAGCUUUUUAGGCCAUGAUAGCAACUUUAAACCAACGGUUAGGAUAUUUUUGGUUUGAAUCAAAGGCCAAGAUUUAUCCCCAAUAAAGACAAAGUGUUACUCUUCCAUCCCUUAUAAAUAGGGGUGCAUUCCAAGUUUUGAAGAGGAAUAAAUCUAAAGCCAAUGUUUGAAGAAACUCAACAAUUUUCCCCUGUUUCUAUUUUUCCUCUCCCUGCCAAUUUUCUGCCACUUCCUCCACCACCAUUGUCGCCACCAGCCACACGUCGGACUUCCCUGCACUACCAGGAACGUCACCGAUUACUUUUCUCCUCUGACCAGACAAGCAUUCCCUCUAUUUUUUCUCCUUAAAACCUCCCCCUCGAAUUGCAGAACGUGAAGAAUCAUGUUCUACAAAAUGCCUAACAUGGUCCCUAGAUUGGGUAGGAAUCAUGUGGGCUUGGGCCGAACACUUUUCAGCCCAGACUAGAUGCUGGGCCGGGUCCGGCCUAGUAUAAAAAGUGUUUUGGGCCUCGGCCGACCUAACUAGACCAUGUCUGGGCCUGAAGCAUAGCCUAGCUAAAAAAAGAGGGAAGUUAGGUCUAUUGGGCCGCCUAUCAGCCCGACCCAACCCAGCCGGGUCCGGCCUAGCCCAUAUAAUAAUAAUAUAAUAUUAUAUAAUUAUAUAAUAAUAAAAAAACCAAAAAUUUCCAAAAGUCCUUAAAAUUUUUUUUGAUUUCCUCGCAUGUUUUUCUACCAAUUUUGUAUAAUAUCGGGUUGUAUAUUUACACUGUAAGAUACAAAUCCUAUAUUAAAAUACUCGAUUUUCUUCGAAACUUAAAAAAAUUUAAAAUUAAAAAAAUUAAAUUAGUUUUCUCUUUGAAAAAAAAUAUUUUAUUUUCAUGCAUACAACCAAAUCCUAAAAUUUUUUCAAGCAUAUUUAAAAAAAAACAAAGAAAAAAAAAUGCAUCUUUCUCAUGUUUUAAAAUACAAAAAUAAAUAUUGUAACUAAUUUAUGAUUAUGUGUUAGGGUUUGAUCAAAAUAUCAAAAACCCUUCACCAAUCAUUUUGUUCACUUAAUGUUUAAAGUGUUAGGGUUUAGCUAUAGACUUUAAUAUUUGAGGGUGUAAAACUACACAGUAGAGUAUACUCAUAGGUAUUAAAGACACAAAAAAAUAAAUACGAUGCUAAAAUAUAGAUUUUAGAAUGGUUAGGAUUUAACCCGAUAAGAUAGAGACUCCUCAUGAAGAAAGAUCUACCUUGUACCUUAGAAAAGACUAAUGGACAGAAACAUGACCUAGAAAAACAAUCAAACAACAUGUAGCUUACCUUAGGUAGGGUGCAUUGAGGGUGAUGUGUCUUCUCCUUGCACAACCAGUCCCUUACCUGAACUCUCGCAGACCAUAGGUUUUCUAGUAACUAUAAUACUAGGUGGUGACUCUUGAACCUUAUAAUCAUAACUUUAUGAUUAUACACAAACCCUCUUUUCAACACAUCUUCUCAAGAGACAGACCUGCCAUCGCUCGACACCAUGCGCGUUGCGACAAGUAUAAUACUUAACAUGUCGUUACUUUCAAAUAAUUUAUCUCUUAUUAUAUCAUGAACUGAUAGAUUAUUGAAUUCCUAGUUGGUAACAUCAUCAUUUUUUACUAUCCUAAAACUCAUAGCUAAUCCAAUUUUAAAUCUUUUGAUUACAAGAUGAACAAUUUUCCACGUAAUUUAAAACACAUUUAAGGACUGUUAAUUAUUCUUAUCUCUCGAGAUACUUAAUUUCAUUUUACAUUUCUUGUUUAAUAUUAAUGGUUGUAAUUCAUGUACCAGGUUUAUCAAUUGAGAGGAAAUGCUAGUGUUACUUUCAAUUUACUAAGUCUGGAUCCUGAAAGAAAGGUGAAGUGCUAUAACAUGUAUUUUAUCAAUGGACACGUGUUUCAUACUAAAGAGUAGGGUCAAGGUAGAAAGACAUAUAAUAAUGAGGUUUGUGUUAAGCGAAUUUGAAGUUGACUAUUAUGGAAAGUUAGAAAAUAUCAUAGCAAGUAGAAUAUAGUUUUUUUGUUCAAAUUUUAAUGGUAUGAUAUCAUUGACAGAGGAAUUGGAGUAGAUUUCCAUCAUGGUUUAGUUGAAAUUAAUACAAAGGCUAAACUUUGCAACAUCGACAAUGUCUUUGUUUUCUCUAUGCAAUGCUAGCAAGUUCACAUACACCUCUUCAUUUAUAAAUGAUUUUUCAAGAGUUGAUUGAUUAUCCAUAGUAAAAACAAAACCCAGGGGUCAUGUCCAGGUUGUUUAAGAUGACAACAAUGAAUUAACAGUGGGAGAUGAUGUCUUUCAACUUGAUGAGUUAGUUAAUCCAUAUCGAGUUGCUCUGUCUAAUUACUUGGAAGAAAAUUCAAAGUUUUGUAUCGCUGAGAAUACUUUCAUUAAUGUUGAUAUUGAGGAGUUAAAAGAUGUUUUGAGAACCAACAAAUAUACCCAAGUUGAUGAAGAAGAUGAUAGAAAUGAAAUCAAUGUGUAAGAUUGCAAUGAAGAUGACGAUGAUGCAAUUGAAGAAGAAAAAGAAGAAGACAAUUCUAAUUAAUUUGCACAACACAUAUAUGUAAUGUCAUAAAUUAUAACGUAAUAUUUCUGGAUGAAAUUAACUUUAAUGUAAUGACAAUGAUGUUAAUUUAUUAUUAAAUGACAAGGAAACAUUUAUUUUAUGUGAUUUUAAUAUUAUACAUAAAACUGAUGUUGUUGUGAUUUUAAGUAUUUGCAGGAUGAAUAGAUAAGAAAUACGGAUACAAUCUAGCAACAUAAAUUAUUUUACACGGAUGGAAAUGCUGAUGGACUGUAAAUAUCAACAGAUACAACGAUGGAUUAAGUCUGUUGGUAUAUUCCAGAGAGCAUUGGAAUUGUUCCCUUCUCUCUGACACUGUUUUUUGGAACUAUUCACGUCUCAAUUGCACUGUUUAUAUUGUCCAUUAAAUACGGGAUCAUUAACGGUUAAUAUCUAUCUGUAUUUUUCUGAGAGCUUUGGAGUUGUUUACUUCUCAAUUGCAUUGUUCAUGGUGUCCAUUACAUACGGGAUCACCAACGAUUUAAUGUUCGUCGGUAUUUUCCCGAAAACUUUGGAACUGUUCACUUCUCAAUUGCAAUGUUAAUUACUUUUUUUAGAUGGAAUCACCGACAGAUUAAAAAGUCAUUGAAAAUAUUUGAGGGCUUUCGAAAAAAAAUUUUAUUAAAUUAAAAUUUUCAAUUAAACGUUACAGAUAAAAACACUGAAAGAAAAAUUAAAAUAUUAAUAUUUAAUUUUUUAUCAGGAGAUUUGUCGGUAAAAAUCCCCUAAAUUAAAUGACAGAAAAUCCCUAAUUUCAUAACAAAUGGGUAAAAUACAAUCUCUCUCAUCCUCUGCAUCUUCUUCUCUCUCCUAUACGUCUCCAUCUUUCUUUCUGUUCUCUCUCUCCUUCUCUCAUCAACCCAUUCUCUUCUCUUCCCCUCUACGUUCAGGUAUGUCUUCUCCUAUUUUCUCCUUCUCUUAUUCUCUUGUUAUUUAACAUAAUGUUUGAAUUUUUUUUCUCUUCUCAUGUUCAAUCACAAUGACAUUAAGGUAACAUUUUUAUUUUUCCUUACUUAUUUUUGUGAUUUUUUGCAUUAUAUUUUUUAAUUUGUUUUUCAAAAUUUUAUGUUCUUAAUAAUUGAAUGAAUUUUGUUUUAUUUUUUAAAAUUUUCCUGUUCUCUAAUGAUUGUAUGAAUGUUGCAGGAUUUUUUUUUAAUUUUUUUGUUCUUUAAUGAUUAAAGAGUACGUGCCCUUUUUUUAAGUUUUUUAAAUUUAAAUGUUGGAAUGAACAAUUGAAAUUUUUUAUUAAAUUCUUUUUUGAUUUUUUUUUAGGGGUGGGGGUUGAAAAUCUCUAAAUCUCAAAUUUUAGGGUUGUGUAAUUUGUAUAGAAAUGGUAGUUGACUAACCUGUUUGUUUGUUUUGGUAUGAGAAAUGGUGUAAUAGGAAGUAAAUAGAAAGAAAUUGAAAUCAAUUAUGAAAAUUAAACCCCUCAAUUGGUCGGCCAUAUGUAGGAAUUCGGGGGUUUUGUGAAAUUUGAUUAAAUUAUAUUGAUUUUGAUGUUUUAAUAAUGUGAGGAAUGUUUAAAAUUGGAAAUAUGAAAACUUAUUAAAUUGUAUUAAGUUUGGUGUUUUAAUGUAUUUGGUUGUAUGAAAACGUGGAAAAGGGAAUGAUAUGCUUCAAUGUAAAUUGAUAGCAUAGAAAUUGUGAGUUUAAUUUUGUAUGGUUAAAGCAAUUGGGUUAUUAUAUGUUUGAGUUGUUAUUGAUAUAUUAUUGGGGGAAUAGAGAACUGUAAGAUUAUGUGUUUGGAUGUAAUUGGUAAUUUGGAAAUGAAAAGGACAUUUUGAAAUGGUAAGGGUUAGGGUUUUUAUCACACAAACUGUAGGAUUUUAUUUUAUUUUAUCAAAAAAAUCGAGGAGGGGAAGAAGUAUUCAAUCCUUAAAGUGAUCUUAUUACCAUACAAUCCAAUUCUAUUUAUAUAGAUUGAAAUAAAAUCAAAUGGUUUGUGAUAAUUCAUUUAAAUUGUUAUGUAUUUGCAGGUUUAAUAAUUUUAGGUAGUCUGUAUAUAUAUAUAUAUAUAUAUGUGUGGGAGAUGCUGCCAUUUAAAAAAAAAGAUAGAAAUAGCUUGUUGUAUGAAGAAAAUCACUGCUAGUUUUUCUAAUAGGAUACAUUCAAGUGGUUGUGGGGUCUUUUCAUAGUCAAGCUUCUAUUCUCUUCUGCAAGGAAAUAGGAGGGAUUAACAACCACGUGCAGGAACGAUUCAUAAGUAGUGGAGGAAGAAAUAAAUCUAAAGUCGUUGCAUUGAUUUUCACUUUCGGUUUUGUUAUUUUUUAUUAUUUGAAUUUAUUUCAUUAUGCUGAAAGUCUAUUAGAUUUAAUUGUAGUUAAUGCUCAUGGACAUCAAAUUGUGAUUUCUUUCGAUGGCCCAUUCAAAGUCUUAUCACAUUGUGCUUGGAUUGAAUUAGGGUAUUUGGUGAUCCUUCAAAUCAGUGCUUUUAAAUCAGGCCCAGUGGGUGACCCGGCCUAAGACACGGGUCACGGGUUUUAACCGAGUCACCUAGGUAACCUUAAUUUUUUUUUAUAAAUUAAAACGAUAUUAUUUUAGUAAAAAAUAAAAAAACAGUCAACGGGUUGCAACCGAGUUUUCCGGGUCAACAGGUCAUCGGGUCAACCCGUAAGGUCGAACGGGUCAGCCGGGCUUUUAAUUACCCUUAUUUUUUUUAUAAACCCAACUCAGUUCUAGCUCCGGGUCAGCCAAGUCCUGGGUCGAUCCAUUGGGCCGAGUCAGGUUUUAAAACUAUGAUUUCUUUUUACCACAUUGAAACCCAUAUGGGUCAUUUUGACAUUCAUUUGAUUGAUGAAAAUAUAAUAAAAAUAGUGAUACGUUUUUCUAUCUCACAUUUUGGAUAGAUAGAAAUAUAAUAAAAAUUAAAAAUUAAAAAAAAGUAUGCAUGUGAAUGCCAUGUUUUAUAUAUGCUCGUGUUCUAAAGAGGGUCAGUGCUAUUGGAUAGAAUCUAGCAUAUAUAUUGCACUUCAUUUGUUAAUUUUUUGCAACAAUAAAAACAUGGAAAGAUCUUCACUGCUAAACCUAAUGACCAAGCUUAGUUCAAAUCAAACAACAAUACCUAAAAUACAUCUUUUCUAUGGUUUUCGUAACAAGAAAGACUAAGGAUCUCACAUGUUUCAUGAUUGUUAGUUCCCAGCCUAGAAAUCCAAUUUUCUUUCAUCUGUAAUAAGAUAAAACAUAAAUUAACUAUAAAACCACAACCAUGCAUUAAAAUUCAAACAAAUAGUUCAUUUUAGUAGGAUUUUACCCUAGGUGAUCUCAUGGCUUAUAUUCCAUAUAUAUAUUCAAAAAAUUAUUAACCUAAACUAACUGACAUAGAACAAUCCAAAAGAGAUCAAAUGAAAGAUAUUUAAACCAAGCUGUUGCGAUUGCUUGGGAGUGUUGCUGGCACCUUGUUAAUUUCCUUUCUACUCUCGAAUGCCCGGCAAUAAUAUACUAAUAAUUGGAGUUCAUUUUAUACUACUAAAUCAUAUAAUUAAUAAUAUUAUACAUACACUAAACAAAUUUAAACCACUAUUCUAGCAACUUGGUUUUAUUAGUUAUUAAUAGGGUAAAGACUACGCUUCUGAAUCAGUCUUUAAUCGACAAAACCAAAUACUAUUUUACAAAAUCGAGCGUUAAUAUUAUGGUGGUACAAUCGGGGAAUCAAAAUAGGUUGUCUGCUGUGAUUCGGGAGAAGCAAGGUAAAGUUGCCAGUGGUAGUCCCAAUGCGCCUAUGCACUCGAUAUUAUCCAUGAUCCUUCUGAGGAGGAGAUUGUGUGCCUAAGGAAUAGCCACACAAGUUCUCAUAUCAUUUGAUUCUUAUGGUAUUAUGAUGGAAGCAUUCGAAAUGGAUACAACACCAUGGAGUGUCUACUUUGGUGAAUUAAGGCCUAGCAUUGACGGAUGGUCCUAUCGAUCGGUUUGCCUGGCUUGAGGUCACUGACCUACCAAUUGUUUAUUGGAAUGUAAAUAGCAACAACAAGAUUCUGUCAGCGUAUGGCAGAAUUAGUUUUGUCAAGAUUAGUUUUUGAUACAGCAGUCUUGUCCGUAUUAACAUUUUAGCUGGAACAAGACAAAGCAGAUUCAUUAAGGAGUCGGUAAAUUUUAAGCUGAGAGGAACUGAUUAUCAUGUUAUUAUACAGGAUCAUGAUCCUCUGCAUUUUCCAGUCUUUGACGCUAUUGAGUACAACAUGAAGGCCUUUAACCUCAUGCUGGAGGAAGAAGAUGAUGCAACAGAGUCCAGUAGAGAUGGCAUGGCUCUCCAAAGGCUGCAAGGGUGGAAAGAGGGAUGGCUCUAUUCCAUCCCAUUCUGGUUGUGUACGCUAUUGGUGGGUGUAAAACAGUUUUUAAAACUUUUUUAAAUAUUAAAUAUUUAUUUUUUUAUAAUUUUAUUCUUGUUAAUUAUUGUGAAAGAACCAUUUCAAUUCAGAAGUUUAAACUGUUAGGUAAAGUUUUAAUAUAUAAUUGAUGAAACCUGCACAGGACCACACUAUCUCAUGCGUAAUUUUUAUCACAUAAAUAAAAAUAAUGAGAUUCGAACUCAUGACCGUUUGGUCAUCAAAACUUUGAUACCAUGUCAAAAAACUAAUACAAAAACUUAAGUUGUAAGAUGAAUUUCUAAGAUAUAAUUUAUAUAUUUUCUAACUAUUACUGUAAUUAAUUAUUAGAAAUGAUUCAAUUCACCUCAUGAUAUCACUCCAUAGCAUAUAUUAUUAUUAUUAUUAUUAUUAUUAUUAUAAAACACAUUGAAUUUUAGUGAUUAAAGCGCACACGUUAUUAUUAUUCAUCGACACAGACAAGAUACAUAUAUAGAGGGAUGGCCGCCUUGGUUACAUAAAUACCCACAAUAUCAGAAGGCAUCGCCCUUUCAUGCUACAACCUCCAUAGAAGGGAAGCAUACCAGGAGCCAGCCUUCAAGUGAGUGAAUAUAUAUGGUAGCCUAGCAAGCCAAACCAAAAGGUACAUACGUUUUACAUCUUAGUAUAUAAGUGGGCGGGACCAUGCAUGCAUAUAAUUAAAGCUCCUUUGAACUCUUUAUUCCUCAAUACAGACACUAGUAAGGGCAUGUUCUGUGAUGUUGGAUAUGUUUAGUCAUCAUUAGAACGAAGAUAAAUAUCAACAGUAGCGUUGAUAGUAGGAAAAAGUUUGAGGUAAAAAUCAGGGUCUUCGCUGGUUGGCUUUUUUUUCUGAUAUUCGAUGGUCCAUUUUGCGGUGCUGGCAGAAGUAACCUGUAGAGUGACGGUGAAGUUGUCAUAUAAUUGCAGCAACGAUCCUUCCAGCAAUUUGUAGGUGAUUUUCCUGGAGCGGUCGUCAAUGGCUUCAACUAUAUACUUGAAUUUCUCCGCAGUAUCUGAUUAUAAUUAAAAAAUCAAUGCCUAGUCUUAUAAAUGUCCUAGUCAUUUUAAUCAGAAUUUGAUCUAUUAUAGCUAGAAUUCAAAUCAUUUAUUGAAUGGAUCAGUACUGUAAUAUUGUAAUUGCAUCCUUAAUUAAUCUCGUACGUACCACGGCAAGACUCGGCAGACAGGAUUUCAAUCACCUUGCGAGAGCCAACAGUAUUAACCCAGCUUUUGUUACUGUCAACAAGUCCUAUUGUCUGCACAACAGAACCGCAGACAUUCGGUAAGAAGUUUGCUUGUUUCUUGAAGAACUUAUAAAAGGCAGUAGUAGAGCAUUGAAUUGGUGUUUCAACGACUUUUCGGCUACGGGGAGCAAAACCAGAAAAUAAAUGAACUGGUGUUUCAAAGAAGUUUUCUUGA